UACGUAGGGUGCGAGCGUUAAUCGGAAUUACUGAGCGUAAAGUGUGCGCAGGCGGCCGCGCAAGUCGAGUGUGAAAGCCCCGGGCUCAACCUGGGAAUGGCAUUUGAGACUGCAUAGCUAGGGUGCGGAAGAGGGAAGCGGAAUUUCCGGUGUAGCGGUGAAAUGCGUAGAUAUCGGAAGGAACAUCAGUGGCGAAAGCGGCUUCCUGGUCCAGCACCGACGUUCAGGCACGAAAGCGUGGGGAGCAAACAGG
rnacentral:rRNA from 1 species